rnacentral:sRNA from 1 species
GUCGGGGUGCACCGGUACCUGAAAGCAAAGGCUGUAAAGGGGCUCCGAUGUCGGGGGAAACCCUCCUGCCCAAUGCGGGAUAGAGCGAAAGACAACCGGCAAAACGAAAGCGCCAGCAAUGGCGCUUUCGUCGU